rnacentral:rRNA from 1 species
AACGAACGCUGGCGGCAUGCCUAACACAUGCAAGUCGAACGAGACCUUCGGGUCUAGUGGCGCACGGGUGCGUAACGCGUGGGAACCUGCCCUUAGGUUCGGAAUAACUCCCCGAAAGGGGUGCUAAUACCGGAUAAUGUCUUCGGACCAAAGAUUUAUCGCCUUUGGAUGGGCCCGCGUUGGAUUAGCUAGUUGGUAGGGUAAAAGCCUACCAAGGCGACGAUCCAUAGCUGGUCUGAGAGGAUGAUCAGCCACACUGGGACUGAGACACGGCCCAGACUCCUACGGGAGGCAGCAGUGGGGAAUAUUGGACAAUGGGCGAAAGCCUGAUCCAGCAAUGCCGCGUGAGUGAUGAAGGCCUUAGGGUUGUAAAGCUCUUUUACCCGGGAUGAUAAUGACGGUACCGGGAGAAUAAGCGCCGGCUAACUCCGUG